UACAGAGGGGGCAAGCGUUAUUCGGAAUUAUUGGGCGUAAAGGGCGCGUAGGCGGCCUUUCAAGUGACGGGUGAAAGCCCUCGGCUUAACCGAGGAACUGCCUGUCAGACUGGAAGGCUUGAGACCGGGAGAGGUGAGUGGAAUUCCCAGUGUAGCGGUGAAAUGCGUAGAUAUUCGCAAGAACACCAGUGGCGAAGGCGGCUCACUGGCCCGGUACUGACGCUGAGGCGCGAAAGCUAGGGGAGCAAACGGG
rnacentral:rRNA from 1 species